rnacentral:rRNA from 1 species
CGCGUAGGCGGUGUCUUAAGUGGGAUGUGCAAUCCCCGAGCUUAACUUGGGAACUGCAUCCCAGACUGGGACGCUGGAGUACUGGAGAGGGUGGUAGAAUUCCACGUGUAGCGGUGAAAUGCGUAGAGAUGUGGAGGAAUACCAGUGGCGAAGGCGGCCACCUGGACAGUAACUGACGCUGAGGCGCGAAAGUGUGGGCAGCAAACAGGAUUAGAUACCCUGGUAGUCCACGCUGUAAACGAUGAACACUUGGUGUGGUGGGAGUUGACCCCCGCCGUGCCGUAGCUAACGCGGUAAGUGUUCCGCCUGGGGAGUACGGUCGCAAGGCUGAA